AUGUCACAGUGGAGAAAAAUUGAAAGAAAGUACGGGAAGGAGUUUGCAGAUGACGCAAGGAGCAUAUGGUUUGGUCUAAGCGCAGAUGGCAUUAAUCCUUUUGGGGAGCAGAGCAGCAACCAUAGCACCUGGCCUGUGACUCUAUGUUUGUAUAACCUUCCUCCUUGGUUGUGCAUGAAGCGGAAGUUCAUUAUGAUGCCAGUGCUCAUCCAAGGCCCUAAGCAACCCGGCAAUGACAUUGAUGUGUACCUAAGGCCAUUAGUUGAAGAACUCUUACAACUAUGGAAUGGAACAGGUGUACGUGCGUGGGAUGAGCACAUGGGGGAAGAAUUUGACCUAAAGGCGUUGUUGUUCGUGACCAUCAAUGAUUGGCCUGCUCUCAGUAACCUUUCAGGACAGACAAACAAGGGAUACCGCGCAUGCACGCACUGUUUGGACGAUACCGACAGUAUAUAUUUGGCUAAUUGUAAGAAGAAUGUGUACCUGGGACAUCGUCGAUUUAUUCCGAGCAGGCAUCCCGUAAGAAAGAAAGGCAAGCAUUUCAAAGGUGAGGCAGAUCACCGGACGAAGCCUCGCCACCGUACUGGUGCUAAUGUACAUGUUAUGGUCAAGGAUUUGAAGGUGGUCUUUGGAAAGGGUCCUGGUGGACAACCUGUUCCGAAUGACGCUGACGGAUGCGCACCCAUGUGGAAGAAGAAAUCUAUAUUUUGGGACCUGCCCUAUUGGAAAGACCUCGAGGUCCGCUCCGCAAUCGACGUGAUGCACGUGACGAAGAAUCUUUGUGUGACCCUGCUUGGCUUCUUGGGCGUGUAUGGGAAGACAAAAGAUACACCUGAGGCACGGGAGGACCAGCAAUGUAUGCACGGAAAAGACGGCAUACAUCAGGGUCAUGCAAGCUACGCUCUUACCAAAUAA
rnacentral:rRNA from 1 species